GGCGAAACAAGCAGAUCAGCAAAGGGCCAGCGGAACGGGGAAGAGAACCGACCUGCCCGCAGAGAGACCUUUUUCAGGACGGUGAGCAAGCACUUAUCUGUACUUGAGAGUGUGUACGUGCAUUUAAGUGUUGAGUUGUUCCAGAAUUGAAUUCAACUUCUCUUCCGUGCAUUUGGAGAAAUAAUUGGGAAAUCCCUGACAGCACUGAAAGAGAGAGCUGUAGAUAGAAGGAGCCAGAAAGCAAAGGAACCCCUGGAUGGCUGGAGCACUCAUCACCUCGGCAUAUAUGUGAAAAAUAGCUGCGUUUAUCACCUGACCUCCCUUGGUAAGUUUGUUCCAUGAGGGUGGGCAUCUGACUGCUUUGUUCACAGAGUAUCCUAAGUGCCUAGAUCAGGUACUGGAUACUCAGUAAAUAUUUGCUGUACAGAUGAGCAGAUGAAGAAUGCUCUGUAGCUCUGGAGUUAAGUUCAGGGAGGUGAAUAACACUUGGGGGCUGCAGCAGGACUCCCCCUGUCCUGGCUCUGUUGCCUACUGGCCUGUUGUGAGGAUUCUGUGAGACUGCACCUACAGUGUGUCAGCCCACAGCGCCUGACCCGGAGGGAGGACUUAGAUUCUAUCUGGUAUCGCCACCGCUGUCACCACCAGUUAUUCCAGUAAGGGGUGCCAUGGACACAGCGGGUGCAUCCUCACCAAGUGUCCGUGGCCCCUCGCCUGCAGAUUCCCGGGAGCCCGAGCUCACGUUCCUGUGCCCUCUCCUCAUCCCCAACAGUUUGGUCGUCCUUCUCCCUUUUUUUAAUGUCCACCCCCGUCAUGCUUUUACCUUUCCUUUUUCUGGGAUAAAAAGGAAGGAAAGAAACUCUGGCACCCACAUUUUUAACUUUCCUAAGUAUCCCUGAGGCUGAGGGGUCAGCAUGACAUCUUGGCGUGGAAGAUCCUUCUCCUCUGUUCCCUGUACGCUGGAGUCUCUCCCUGCCCCGGAGAGAUGGUGAUCAUCUCUAGAAAGGCUCCUGUCUAAUCAUAUUUCUCUGGGUACAUGGGCUUAGGCAGGAAAAUUGUUGAGCGGAAUUGC